rnacentral:lncRNA from 1 species
CCAGCAGAACAUUCUUGUGGCACAUGCUUCAGUUUUGUGAAAUGAUUGGUUUUGUUUGCUUUGGGUUGGAUUGGUGAUUAUUCUGGAGACAUCUUCAAAAUACCACAGCGUGAAUUCUCUUGUUUUUUACAGCAAGAAUUUCUGUCUCCUGUCUAAGCUGCUACGUCUAACUUGGAUGGAAUUCUACCAUCAGGAGUGAUCCAGACAGACAACAUUCCACUGUUCUGAGCUGCAAAAGCUGGUCAAAUUGCUUGUAACUACA